UACAGAGGGUGCGAGCGUUGUUCGGAAUUAUUGGGCGUAAAGCGCAUGUAGGCGGCCUGUUAAGUCACGUGUGAAAGCUCCCGGCUCAACCGGGAAAGUGCGCGUGAAACUGGCGGGCUUGAGUGCUGGAGAGGGUGGCGGAAUUCCCGGUGUAGAGGUGAAAUUCGUAGAUAUCGGGAGGAACACCAGAGGCGAAGGCGGCCACCUGGACAGACACUGACGCUGAGACGCGAAAGCGUGGGGAGCAAAC
rnacentral:rRNA from 1 species